CCCCACUCAAUGAUCUCGGGCGGUUCCCGCACCUGCACUAGGACAGUCUUCAUUGGUUGGAUUGGCCUACGGAAAUAGUGAAUGGCUGCGCCAACCGGGGAGCAGAGAGAUUCAGGUGUAACUUGAAGACGUCCGAUGAAAGACUGCAUGAAGUACCUAACCCUCAGUCUGAUCACGUGGAAGAGGUGGGAGCUGUUAGAUUAUAGAGUGAAGAGCAUCGCAGCGGGCCUCGGCCACAGCAACCUGCAGUAACACCGAUGGAUGCCUUUCUGGCCACAUUCUAGUUCACGGUGGGACAAGCCGAUCGGAUCACCAGACCUUCUGGUACCAAGAUUUAAGAAGAUGAGAACCUGCCUCACGGAGUUGAAGUGUAAAUUUCCUUUGAACCAGAGAUCAGUGCUGGCGCUAACGACAAAUAUUAUCACAAGAUGUACGGCACACGGAAAAAUCUCUCCAAAAUUCAGCGCACUUUAUAUGUCCUUGAAUUAGUGGCAGACUCAGAUAUGAAAUUACUGAAUAGGAGGGAAAAAAAUAGGUAGUGGCUGAGGCCCCAAACACCCUCCAGUUGGCUCAGUGAACGUGCAGUAUCCUGCCUGGAACUUCCUCAAGAGCGCACCUGCCAAAAAGACCCUGGAAAAGGACGAAAGCCACGGCGGCUCAGCUGUGUAACAACAGCCCUUGGCAGUGAUGCAGUAGUUUUCACCUGAAGUUCGACUCUUUCUUUCUUUCCUUUUUUUUUUUUUUUUUUUUUUUUUUUGUCUUUUUGCCUUUUAUUGAGCCGCUCCCACGGCAGAUGGAGGUUCCCAGGCUAGGGGUCCAAUCGGAGCUGUAGCCACUGUCCUACGCCAGAGCCACAGCAACAAGGGAUCCGAGCCACGUCUGCAACCUACACCACAGCUCAUGGCAACACCGGAUCCUUAACCCACUGAGCAAGGGCAGGGAUCGAACCCGCAACCUCAUGGUUCCUAGUCGGAUUCCCGUCAUUCCCACGAUGGGAACUCCCAGAAGUU
rnacentral:lncRNA from 1 species